CAUAAGCGGAGGAAAAGAAACCAACAGGGAUUGCCUCAGUAGCGGCGAGUGAAGCGGCAAGAGCUCAGAUUUGAAAUCUCACCUAGUGUGCGAGUUGUAAAUUGCAGGUUGGAGUCUCGGGUUAGACGUGUGUGCAAGUCCCUUGGAACAGGGUGCCACUGAGGGUGAGAGCCCCGUAGCGUGCAUGUCGACACCUGUGAGGCCCUUCUGACGAGUCGAGUUGUUUGGGAAUGCAGCUCUAAGUGGGUGGUAAAUUCCAUCUAAGGCUAAAUAUUGGCGAGAGACCGAUAGCGAACAAGUACUGUGAAGGAAAGAUGAAAAGCACUUUGAAAAGAGAGUGAAACAGCACGUGAAAUUGUUGAAAGGGAAGGGUAUUGGGCUCGACAUGGGAUUUACGCAUCGUUGCCUCUCGUGGGCGGCGCUCUGGGUUUUUCCUGGGCCAGCAUCGGUUUUCGUUGCAGGAUAAGGACAAUUGGAAUGUGGCUCCUCGGAGUGUUAUAGCCUUUUGUAGAUGCUGCGUAUGGGGACCGAGGGCUGCGGCGGACUCGUUUCGUCUCGGAUGCUGGCACAAUGCAGUGACC
rnacentral:rRNA from 1 species